rnacentral:rRNA from 1 species
GACGAACGCUGGCGGCGUGCUUAACACAUGCAAGUCGAACGGGCCUGUCUUCUUUUUUGGGGGGUGGGUUGAGUGGCGAACGGGUGAGUAUCACGUGAGUAACCUGCCCUUCGGUCCUGGAUAACCGCUUGAAAGGGCGGCUAAUACGGGGUGGUCCGGUUGGUCCGCAUGGGCUGGUCGGGAUAGAUUCACUGUUUUUGGUGUUUCGGCGGGGGAUGGGCUCGCGGCCUAUCAGCUUGUUGGUGGGGUGAUGGCCUACCAAGGCGGUGACGGGUAGCCGGCCUGGGAGGGUGGGCGGCCACACUGGGACUGAGAUACGGCCCAGACUCCUGCGGGAGGCAGCAGUGGGGGGGAUUGCACAAUGGGCGGAAGCCUGAUGCAGCGACGUCGCGUGAGGGAUGGAGGCCUUCGGGUUGUGAACCUCUGUUUCCGGUGGUGAAGGCCCUGUCCGUGUGGUGGGGUUGACGGUAGCCGGGGAUGAAGCGCCGGCUAACUACGUG